GACGAACGCUGGCGGCGUGCUUAACACAUGCAAGUCGAACGGAAAGGCCCUGCUUUUGUGGGGUGCUCGAGUGGCGAACGGGUGAGUAACACGUGAGUAACCUGCCCUUGACUUUGGGAUAACUUCAGGAAACUGGGGCUAAUACCGGAUAGGAGCUCCUGCUGCAUGGUGGGGGUUGGAAAGUUUCGGCGGUUGGGGAUGGACUCGCGGCUUAUCAGCUUGUUGGUGGGGUAGUGGCUUACCAAGGCUUUGACGGGUAGCCGGCCUGAGAGGGUGACCGGCCACAGUGAGAAUGACGUACCACCCAAACUCCUCCGGGAGGCAGCAGUAGGAAAUAUUGCACAAUGGGCGGAAGCAUGAUGCAGCAACGCCGCGUGCGGGAUGACGGCCUUCGAGUUGUAGACCGCUUUCGCCUGUAACGAAGCUUGAGUGACGGUAAUGGGUAAAGAAGCACCGGCUAACUACGUG
rnacentral:rRNA from 1 species